GGCAGAAGUUGACAGAGUGUCUGGUGGGAACUGGUGUUGAAGACCACCCCCACAGAGGGAUCCUUCUGAACUGCAAUUCGAGUGCCAACAGCCAGCCCCCUCUCUUGACCACUUGCUUCUUCCUCCCUCAGGAGAUCAGGGCUUGUGGGGUGGGGAAUGCCAAACGCCUCCAUUUACUUCGGUUACUCCAGGGUGCACCGUUCCAAUCAAAAAACUUCAUUCUGAAUGGAACAUUCUGAGACUGAAACGACAGAAGUGCCCUGAAGGCCAGUCCUGAGUAGACCUCAGGGGAGAAGAGCAGCUCCCAGGAAGACCCCGUCCCUCACUGUGACUGCAGUCCAUCCACAGAGAACCCCGCAGGUCUAAGAGGUAAUACUCUCUGGGAUGGCUGGCAGCAGCUCCAGGCUCCAUCGUCUUUACUGUCCACCCAGAAGUGCCAGCAAUCUCCUUCCCUGUAGCUCCGGCCCAAGCCUGGGCCCUGGCUCCUCCUGAAUUCAAUUGGGCCAGGGGGCCAUCCCUGAGCCAAUCGCUGGCACCGCAAGGCUGUGGCACUUCAUUUGGCCAGGUUUGUGUCAAGCGCCUAUGAGUGGAGCUGCCCUGCCCUCCCCGCAGCAAAGCCUGCAAGUGCCAGUGUGUCUUCUGGGCUGGGCACAUGUAUGUCAGCUCAUAUGCACCAAAACCAGCCUGAGGACUCGCAGACUGGUCUGAAACUCGAGAGCUCUUUUUUAUUUCAUCAUUCAAUUGCUUUGCAAAAAGGUACCUUUUCUGGUUUAAUUUCUUCUGUCACUA
rnacentral:lncRNA from 13 species